ACAGCAGCAGCCACGGGAAUACGAAGGGUGCAAGCGUUAAUCGGAUUUACUGGGCGUAAAGCGCGCGCAGGCGGAUAGGUCAGUCUGUCUUAAAAGUUCGGGGCUUAACCCCGUGAUGGGAUGGAAACUGCCAAUCUAGAGUAUCGGAGAGGAAAGUGGAAUUCCUAGUGUAGCGGUGAAAUGCGUAGAUAUUAGGAAGAACACCAGUGGCGAAGGCGACUUUCUGGACGAAAACUGACGCUGAGGCGCGAAAGCCAGGGGAGCGAACGGGAUUAGAUACCCGCGUAGUCCCUGUCUCUUAUACA
rnacentral:rRNA from 1 species